ensembl:lncRNA
UCUGGAGUAGUCAGCGAACCUCUCACUUGUGGUUCUGAAGACAUUUGUGUCUCUGAUUUGUCGUAAUGGGCUUUAGAAGAUGAAAUGUCCUAAAGGAAUGUGAGAGGUUGGGGAGGAGCCACUGAGGGCUCCGAGAGGUGCAUACGGAACCCAUGGAGGUGAAAUCGCUUGCCCUGCAUCUCUCAACUAGUUAAGCUGUGCCUUGGAGUCAUAACCUCUGUGUGAACCGUAGCUGCCCUACUCAGUUUCAGGCAGGAUCGGCUGGAGGGCAAUGUGCCUCACAGGAAGGAAUGCCGGACUCACAGCUCUGCCAGGAAUCAGCUCUGGGCCCUCAGCUGCCCCGUAGAUGCUUCCAUUUUCUGAUCCGUGGAGGACGGUGUGAAAUCUCGUCUGUGGCAGCCCUGUGGAAACAACAAAGCACUCCACAAGUGUAAGGGAUGACAGCUGUGAUUUCUGGCAUGAGCCACAUCCUCUACAACUUCACUGGCCUUUGAAGACCAUCUGCAGGCUUCCCUGUGGUGACAAGGAGGACUGGAGUCUUCUAGGUGACCUGUGUUGGAGUCGCGGCCCUGAUACCCACUAGCUGGGGAACUGCACUGCACUGUAUGUAACGUUUCCUCGUGCAUAAAAUAAGGGUGAUUAUCAUGCUGGGAAGAAACCAUUUCUAUGAAGACCAUGGCACAUAGAGCUUAGAAAGGAUGGAGACCCCGAAAUGCAGAAAGACUUAGCCCAGAUCAGAGCAGCCAGCCAGGAACAGAAGCCCCGAUGCCCUCCCCCGGAACUCUCCUGCCUCUUCUUGGAUGGCAGUUUUCCCUGGAAUUCCUGGACACACACAGGGGAAGCAAGUGCAGACAAGAAUGAAACCUCAUUUUAGAGCCUCGGGGAUGUUCCCUACACCCAGCUGAACUGUUUGGUUAACAGAUAAAGAAACUGAGGCCCAGUCUGUCACAUUGGUCAUGACUGCGCUACACUUUCGUGUCUGGAACAAAAUUACCAACUUCCCUUGUGCUUCUGUUCAUGACCCCCUGAAGUCUGGGUGAGAACACCUGAUGGAGUCCACACUGCGGGCAACUCUGGACUGAAGUUUUGCAGAAGCUUCCAGGCUUCCAACCCAGCCUCCCUCAGUCCAUUCUCCACGUAGCUGUUCCAAAUGUAAGGCCUUGGUCACCGCUAUCAGAGGAAAACAAUUCCUGCCCUAUAGAGACGACUCUAGACUAAAGGAAUGGAGACAUAGAAGGUGCAGACUCAUCAGCCAUGAGAGUUCUGGCAAGGGAAAGGGCAGUCGGGGAAGUUUUUGGAGAAUCUGGAACAAGAGCAGGACCUCUGCCAGUUGAAGUUGUCCUCUGCUUCAGUGUCUCGCUCCAUAUGCUCUGGUCCCCACGUCGCUCACGUUGCCAUUGGUCUCCCCAUCUCAGAACCUGCAGAGAGCCCAGAGGGCAACAGGACACCAGGCAGAAGUCCUGCAAUAGCUGAGCCCACUGCCUCAGAAGGCCUGCACAAACUGCUGUUACCAGCACGCCCUGGGGGCUCAGCUCCCACCCCGGGUGCAGGAUUCCUUCCCACACCUCACAGCGCUCUCCAUGAGAGCAUCGUCAAGAAACACGCUUCCGGAGGAGUACUGUCUGAGUCCUUUUUGGCUGCUAUAACAAAACGCCACAGACUAGGGGGCUGAUAAACAGCAGAAUUUUAUUUCUCACAGUUCUGGAGGUUGGAAGUCCAAAAUCAAGGUGCCAGCACGGUCAUGUUCUGGUGACGGCCCUCCUCCUGCUUCGUAGGUGCUGCCUUCUCACUGUGGCGGAAGGGGCAAGCAAGCUCUCUAGGGUCUCUUCGAUAAGGGCACCAAUCUCAGUGAUGAGGGCUCCACUCUCAGAUGUAAUCGCCUCCCAAAGGCCCACCUCCUAAUACCAUCACUUUGGGGGUUAGGAUUUCAGCAUACGAAUUUCAAGGAGACACAAACAUUUAGACCAGAGCAGAUACUACCAUCCUUUAUCAGCCAGUGCUCAGCUGAUCCUCCCGUGACCGACUCUGGAAUGGGCUUCGCAGGCCUCACUUACGGUCUUGCUCUGGAUCUGGGCUUUGCUCUCUCCUGGCCUGGCCACCUCACACUCAACUUCAGGUUUUGGCAGAGCCCCAACUACCUUCAACUCCCUCCAACCGUCAUGCUGCCUGUGCCCCAGAUCUCUUGGGAAACUGCCUGAAGAAGCAGUCUGUUGGCCACAGAAGAAACCAACCCUUCCCUUUAAUGGCCUCCCACAUCCUGAAAUAAACAGAAGCAAUGACCUAGAUAAGUCCCAGCCUGAUUCACCAGGUUUGGUCCCCAAUUGCUGAAAUUCCCUUCCCGGGGCUCUCAGGAACCAGGCCUGGGUAGAAGGAUUGGGUGGGACUGGCCCUGGGCCGUAUGGCAGGACGCCACAAGGAGCUAUAGGUCAGGAUCUGCGGUGAAGUUGAGGUCUUCCAACAGGACCAGGCUGAAAGGCAGACGCUAGGCCAGAGCACCAGGCCACCUGAACGUGUACAAGCUCAGAGCACAAACGGAGGCCACGGACCAUAUUCCUCAGUGUUUAAAAAUUAUGAAGAAAUUGAAGCCCAGAGACAUUAAGUAACCUUCCCAGGAUCACCAGCAGACACCUGGGUUUCUCCAGCAGCAACGACGAAGAGGUAAAGAGAGUAAUCUUUGGACCAACGAAUGGAAUGACAGCGAGACCCUUCUGUUUUGUCACAGGCUGUUUCUUCCCUCCUUUUUUCUACCUCAGGGCAUGUGACAGACUGCAGCCACGUAUAAACUACCAUCCAGGAGUGUUCAACACAGCACACGGUCUGGCUGCACCUGAAUCAAAUCCGGUCAGUGAAAUGAACCCAGGCGUGCCCGACUGUCACGGGUAAACCGGAAUGGCGAGGUGGUGAAGGACAGUUUGGAGCAAUCACAUGGGAACUUAACUCUCCAAACCAUUACUGUCCUUUUCAAAGUCGGCCCCCUGGAGACUCCGCUUCUUCUGCCAGGGGCCUUCAACCCGGCACAUUGGAACCACCUGGGGAGUUUUACUGUACUGGUGCUCAGUCUGACUUCCCGAGAUUCUGCCUGAAUUAGGCAGGCGGGGCCCGGGCAUGGGGAUUUUUCAAAUCUUACCAGGUGGUUCUAACAUGCAGAGGGUUCAGAAUUACCGCUCCGAGACUUUUGGGAACUCUUCCCAUAGAAAAGCCUUCAAAGUCUGUGGUGCUUUCUUUUGAAUCUUGUCAACAGUAACCAAUCUUCUUCCUUUGAUGGAUUGGAUUUUGGAAAAACAGCUCAAGUCAUUCAGAACUGAGUCUGCAGAAUAAGAGUGAACUAUUUAUCGC